UGCGUAGGCGGCUUGGUAAGUCAGAUGUGAAAUCCUGGGGCUCAACUUCGGAACUGCAUUUGAUACUGCCAGGCUAGAGUACUGGAGAGGAGACUGGAAUUUACGGUGUAGCAGUGAAAUGCGUAGAUAUCGUAAGGAAGGCCAGUGGCGAAGGCGAGUCUCUGGACAGUAACUGACGCUGAGGCACGAAGGCUAGGGGAGCAAACG
rnacentral:rRNA from 1 species